GGAGGUGGAGGUUGCUGUGAUCUGAGAUUGCCCCUGCCUCCAGCCUGGCAAUAGAGUGAGACUCCGUCUCAAAACAAAACAAAACAAAACAAAACAAAACAAAACAAAACAAGAAAACAACCAAUGGCAGCGCAAAAUCAUACAAGGACUAUUAGGGCAGUUAAUACCCUGCUUGGAUUCUUGCUAAGGUUACAGCAGUUUUACUUACUAUUUUUUUUGUACCAUCAGUGCAAAUAUUAACAUAUAAUUUAUGUUAUGAUGAAAAUAAUUCUAAUUUUGAAUUCUCUAAAAUAUAAUGGUCUCAGAAAUCCCCUCUAUGGUCCUUACUUUGAGAACAGCUGCUCUAAGAAAAGAAAGUACAGUUUACAAAAAAGGAAUAGAGUAAAUAUUUCCUUAUUAAACUCCUCUUAACUAACUUGCCAGUGAACCUAACUUCCAUUCCUUGUGUAACACCAUAGCUGAAUGUUAGGGCUUGUAGGUUGCCCAUUUCUUUACAUUUAUUUCUGUUCCCACCGGUAGAGUUACCUGCUGAGCAUGUGUCAGCUGUAUUUGUUCUCAAACCAGGUAAUACACUUUCACUAAUAUCUGUAAUAAGAUAGUUUUAAUAGUAUAAAUAGAUAAAGUAUGAGUUUAAAAAGGAAAAGCUAAUAUUUCUAAAACCAACUUAAAAACUUUGAAAUAACUUACUGUAAAAGAAAUUGCUGUCAUGAUACAGUGUGAAUGAAAUUUGUCAAAGAUUAGGGAAAAACUCACAAAUAUCUAGAAGGCUUCUGCGUUCCCUCACAGAUAUCUUUAAUUUCUUCCCAUAUUAUAAAAAAACCAAAGCUAGAAAUUGUGAUGAUGUGUUAUGUAUGUUCUUUGCUGGAAAGAACAAUGAAACUCCAUCUGCAGACCUAUAUUCAGAGAAUAGGCUGUGGCUCACCUUCAAAAGAUUAGUAAAUGUGUGUACACAUGGAUAUAUUUUAAGUUUAAAUACAAUUCAUAAAUUAAUGUCUGUCUGGUUUUAAAAAAAAUUUCCCACUUAGCAGCUGUCGCAGAGAACUGAUUUAUUACUGGUCAGGAUCACAUUAAAUAAGAUAGUUUCUCAGCUGCCAUGCAUGAACUAAGAGCAAAUUUCCAUUUGUUUUUAUGAUUAUAAAAUAUAAUCUCUUCCAUUAUUGUACUUUGUAUCUAAGGCUGGGUAAGACUGUGCUGGUAAAAGAUUUAGAUAACUUUUUAGAAAUACAGCUAUUACAGGUCAGCUUUUCUAAUGAUACAGGGACAACCUGAAGGUGCCAUAAACCUUUUCUUUUGGUGUGCUAGUGUUUUGUUGAAUUGGAAACUGCUUGAAAUAAACAAACUAUGUUGGGGCUUGGACAUUUUCACAGAAAUUUGCAUGACAUUUCAUGAAGAAUGAGAAUUAUAUCAAAUGUUCUGGUUAUCUAUAAAAAUAAGCUUAUUUGUUAAUCACACAUGUGAGGGUUUGCUGGCUGGUAGCAAUUCAUUGACAUCAGGUUUAUCAUGGGUUGGUGUAUAUACUGCCAUUUAUAGAUGCAUCAUGACAUGGUACAAUGACACAAGGUUGGGAAGCAAAUGACCUGGCUUCUCUACCUGGCUCACCAGUCAUCAUGAGUCAGUGAAGAUGGUAUUCCCAACUCCAUAGCAGUGAGUGUGCAGUAUGAAUUGUCUUUUUCCUAGAAGUAGGGAAUUCAUUCACACUCUCAUAGUCUGUUUACAAACGGUACACACUGGCAAGCUGACUGGCUAGAGCAAAGCAGCUUUGUCUGUUACUAGAUUGCUAAGAAAUUAAUUAGUGUUAGUCUUUUCAGCACCAGGAUGUAUCGCUAGUACAGUUAACCAAACACUGAAAUUAUUACUAAACAUAGAGGGAUCUCUCCAAAUUUCUGAUUUCAUAAUGAUCACAUAAUCAUUGCCAGCAGUGUGGCUGACAGUGAAUUAUAGGUGUUUUUCCUUCUUUCUGAAAAUAUUUAUUGAUCAUCUGCUAUGUGCCACACUGUUCUAUAAUUGGGGAUCCAAUUGUGAAUACAAUAGUUAAAAAAAAAAAAGCCCUGCCACUGUAGAACUUAAAUUCCAGGAGGGGAUACAUAGACAUAGAUAUGUUUGUACAUAUAUUUGCUAAAG